rnacentral:ncRNA from 2 species
GUUUCAUGAAGAGUGGCUGAGGGACGAGCCCUUUGACGCCACGACAACCGGCCCUCGGGACCGGUGUCACCUCUCUCCUGGUAACAGGGAACAUGAGAU